GAUCGCAAUGGAGAUUACAAAGUCAGAGAAAUUAACUGUUAAACCAGUAUCGGAUUGAGAAGGAACAUAACAUUUUGACUCCCAUGAAGCCUGAAUGCUGCAGACAUGUUGGAGUCCAGCCCUUCUUUAUAAGAGCACCCCAGCCUAUGCUACAAGUGUUUCCCAUAGCACACAGUCUUGGUGGGAGAUGGCACCCACCUCCUACCUUGGAAUCCAAAGGGAUCCUUUUCUGUCUUCCAGCCUGUACUGACAUACAGAGGGAGGCUGCAACUUGGACUCUGAAAACCAGACACAUACCUUGGGCUUUGGCUUUUCUGUGAGGGAUACAGUGACAUGGGGACUGGCUCUUCCAGGGCAGGACUUUGGAUGUUCUAUUUCCCAGGCCUGGUUGUGAGCUUUCAUUUUCCUCCGUUCUUUGAGCCUCCAAUAUCCUUCCAGUGAAAUUCCUUUUUGCUGAAGAGAACCUGUUUAGUUUAUUUCCUCUCAGAGGUAGGAUCUGAGAAAAGAAUUCAGGUGCAGUUAGUUUAUCUUAGCUGGAAGAAACAGUGGUUAGGAGAGUGAAGAAGUAAGGUGGGGAGAAAAAGCUAAUGUAGGGUGUGUAAUCAGAGCUAUCACCAUGGGCUCCUGAAAUGAAUCAGAAGAGGGAAAUUGUGGGAACAUGAGUCUGAAAGUUACAUCACUCAAGCAGCAUAGGCACUCGGUAGUUAUACGUCGACUUCUGUUGGUGCUAGCCUGAGGUCUCAUUGUCUAGCCCUCCUGGCUGCCAUCAGCACAGGCAGGGUGGCCUGCUGCUUUGAGGAACCGUCCACUCAAACAGAUGCAGGUUCUGGCAGUUGACCCUGGGCUGCAACACACAGAGGGGGAAGCCCCUAUGAUAGGGCUGAGGCACUGACAGUCUCGUCUCCAGGGCCAGAGCCAGUUCCAGUUGAGAUCAGGACCAGGACUGAGAAACCAGGGUGGCUGCUAACAGGCCAGUGACCCCAGCUCCAGUGCUGCCUCCCUGACAUCUCCACAUCUUCCUAAUAGUCUCAGCUAUGCAGGUGUGCCCCUCUGUCUAGAUUUCUGGAUGCCAGUGAGAACAGGUCAGCAGCUUGUAUGCUGACUGCCAGGGCCUGGGGAGAGAGGAAGGCUCAUUGACCUGAUUUCCACAGCAGGAGGCAGAGCACUGAAUGCCACCUGUAUUUGGGAAGGAAGCAGUCAGGGAAUAACCCUGACCAAUAUUCAUCACAACCAUCACUUUGACAUCUCAAUUUUCAUGCACACCCGUACAAUACACCCAAACCAAAAAUUCAUCUGCCUAACAUAAAAUUCCUCAUGUACCUAAAAAUGCACUCUCCCUUAUCCCUAAAGAAGAAUAUUCAAAAUCACAUUGGUUAUUGUAUUAGUUUACUUUCAUACUGCUAUGAAGAAAUACCUGAGACUGGGUAAUUUAUAAAGAAAAAGAGGUUUAAUGAACUCACAGUUCCACAUGGCCGGGGAGGCCUCCCAAUCAUGGGAGAAGGCGAAGGAGGAGCAAAGGCACAUCUUACAUGGUGGCAGGCAAGAGAGCAUGUGCAGGGGAACUGCCCUUUAUAAAACCAUCAGUUCUCAUGAGACUUAUUCACUGUCAUGAGAAUAGCACAAGAAAAACCCAUCCCCACGAUUCAAUUACCCCCCUGGACCCCUCCCAUGACAUGUGGGGAUUAUGGGAGCUCCAAUUCAAGAUGAGAUUUGGGUGGGGACACAGCCAAAUCAUAUCAGUUAUGGUACUAGCUUCUGGAUCAGGAUUUCUUAAUAGGGUCCAUUAUUUCUCUAAGUCAAUAAUGAUCCAACAUAAUAUUCUACAACUGAUGGACCACAAUGUAAAGUCAUCAGCAUAACUCAUUCUAAAUGUAAUAGUGGAGUAAGCAGACAGAAAAAAGGGGAAUUGGGUAAACUUUAUAUAGUGGGCAGAGUGAGAUAGAAACAUGGGUAGAGAUUAGAACCCUCAUAUCUAUACCAAAUCAGGAGGCUGUGUAUUAGUCUGCAUGCUGCUGAAAAAGACAUACCUGAGAUUGGGUAAUUUGUAAAGAAGAGG
ensembl:lncRNA novel transcript